GACGAACGCUGGCGGCGUGCUUAACACAUGCAAGUCGAACGAAGUGGCGAACGGGUGAGUAACGCGUAAUCAACCUGCCCUUCAGAGGGGGAUAACAGUUGGAAACGACUGCUAAUACCGCAUCCUGAAGGCGGGGCUUGCGUCUGAUUAGCUCGGUGGAGGGGCAACGGCCCACCAAGGCGAUGAGCAGUAGCCUGUCUGAGAGGGUGAACGGCCACAUUUGGACUGAGCAACGGCCCAGACGCCGACGGGAGGCAGCAGUGGGGAAUCUUCCGCAAUGGACGAAAGUCUGACGGAGCAACGCCGCGUGAGUGAGGACGGCCUUCGGGUUGGAAAGCUCUGUUUAUCGGGACGCGGUACCGGAAUAGAAAGCCACGGCUAACUACGUGCCAGCCGCCGCGGUAAUAC
rnacentral:rRNA from 1 species